UACGGGGGGAGCAAGCGUUGUUCGGAUUUACUGGGCGUAAAGGGCGCGUAGGUGGGUAAGUAAGUCAGUGGUGAAAUCUCCGGGCUUAACCCGGAAACUGCCAUUGAUACUAUUUGUCUUGAAUACUGUGGAGGUCAGCGGAAUAUGUCAUGUAGCGGUGAAAUGCUUAGUAUAUGACAUAGAACACCAAUUGCGAAGGCAGCUGGCUACACAAAUAUUGACACUGAGGCACGAAAGCGUGGGGAUCAAACAGG
rnacentral:rRNA from 1 species